rnacentral:rRNA from 1 species
AGUGAACGCUGGCGGUAGGCCUAACACAUGCAAGUCGAACGGCAGCACAGGAGAGCUUGCUCUCUGGGUGGCGAGUGGCGGACGGGUGAGGAAUACAUCGGAAUCUGCCCAGUCGUGGGGGAUAACGUAGGGAAACUUACGCUAAUACCGCAUACGACCUUCGGGUGAAAGAGGGGGAUCGCAAGACCUCUCGCGAUUGGAUGAGCCGAUGUCGGAUUAGCUAGUUGGCGGGGUAAUGGCCCACCAAGGCGACGACCCGCAGCUGGUCUGAGAGGAUGAUCAGCCACACUGGAACUGAGACACGGUCCAGACUCCUACGGGAGGCAGCAGUGGGGAAUAUUGGACAAUGGGCGCAAGCCUGAUCCAGCCAUACCGCGUGGGUGAAGAAGGCCUUCGGGUUGUAAAGCCCUUUUGUUGGGAAAGAAAUCUUUCAGGCUAAUACCCUGGGAGGAUGACGGUACCCAAAGAAUAAGCACCGGCUAACUUCGUG